CAAGGCAACGAUAGCAUACACGACUUGAGAUGGGUGAUCGGACUCACUUGGACUGAUGCCAGCGCCCAGACGUCGUACAGGCAGGCAGCAGUAGGGCAUCUUUCGCAAUGAACGGAAGUCUGACAGCAGCUAACGCUGUCUGAGGGAUGACAGGGCUCUCGGUGACGGUAAUCUCUGUUGUUAGAAAUGAACAAGUACGAUGAGUCAGCUGCUGUACCUCGACGGUACUUCAUCAGAAAUCCACGUCUAAAUACGUCUCAGCAGCCGCGGUAAUACGUAGGUGGCAAGCGUUAUCCGGAAUUAUUGGGCGUAAAGCGCGCGCAGGCGGUUUUUUAAGUCUGAUGUGAACGCGCUCGGUUCAACCGUGGAGGGUCAUUGGAAACUGGGGAACUUGAGUGCAGAAGAGAAAAGCGGAAUUUCACGUGUAGCGGUGAAAUGAGUAGAGAUGUGGUGGAACACCAGCGGCGAAGGCGGCUCUUUGGUCUGUAACUGACGAUGAGGCGCGAAAGCGUGGGGAGCAAACAGGAUUAGAUACCCUGGUAGUACCCGCCGUAAGCGAUGAGUGCUAAGUGUUAGAGGGUCUCCACCCUUUAGUGAUGCAGCUCACGCAUUAAGCACUCCGCCUGGGGAGUACGGUCGCAAGACUGAAACUCAAAGGAAUUGACGGGGGCCCGCACAAGCGGUGGAGCAUGUGGUU
rnacentral:rRNA from 1 species